UAAUACGGAGGGUGCAAGCGUUAUCCGGAUUUACUGGGUUUAAAGGGUGUGUAGGCGGACUUUUAAGUCAGGGGUGAAAUCCCGAGGCUCAACCUCGGAACUGCCUUUGAUACUAUUGGUCUUGAAUGUUGUUGAGGUGGGCGGAACGGGUCAUGUAGCGGUGAAAUGCAUAGAUAUGACCCGGAACACCGAUUGCGAAGGCAGCCCGCUAAGCAACUAUUGACGCUGAGGCACGAAAGCGUGGGGAUCAAACAGGAUUAGAUACCCUGGUAGUCCACGCCCUAAACGAUGAUUACUCGACGUUGGCGAUACACUGAUCAGCGUCCAAGCGAAAGCAUUAAGUAAUCCACCUGGGAAGUACGUUCGCAAGAAUG
rnacentral:rRNA from 1 species